GACGAACGCUGGCGGCGUGCCUAAUACAUGCAAGUAGGACGCAGUUGCGAACGGGUGAGUAACGCGUAGGUAACUACCUAUUAGAGGGGGAUAACUAUUGGAAACGAUAGCUAAUACCGCAUACUAGUAGAUGGACCUGCGUUGUAUUAGCUAGUAGGUAGGGUAAUGGCCUACCUAGGCAACGAUACAUAGCCGACCUGAGGGGGGGGUCUGGCCACCGGUGACUGAGACAAGGCCCCGACGCCGUCGGGAGGCAGCAGUAGGGAAUCUUCGGCAAUGGGGGGAACCCUGACCGAGCAACGCCGCGGGAGUGAAGAAGGUUGUCGGAUCGUAAAGCUCUGUUGUUAAGGAAGCGGUACUUAACCAGAAAGGGACGGCUAACUACGUGCCAGCAGCCGCGGUAAUAC
rnacentral:rRNA from 1 species